UUCUAGAAGUCCAACAUUUAGAGCAUUCAGCAUUCCUCAUGCCAUGAGAUGAUGAAACAUAAAAGCCAGACAUUAAACUAUCUUAACAUUUAGCAAAAGCAGCACUUAUUCCUGAGAGCACAGAGGGAAGGCGAUUUCCACAGGAUUACGGUCAUAUCUGUGCAGACUUUUCAACUUAUCUGGGUUCUUUAUUGUUUUAUUGUGCUGUUGCCAGUGACUUAUUGAUCUAAAUAUUGGUCAGAGAGUCAAGACGCUAGGAAUCCUUUUCUGUCUGCAUCAAGGGACCAAGACUGAAGUUACCAGACAACUCUAAGGGUCUUAGAGUAUUUGAGAUGAAGGGGGCACCAGGAAUUUCUUAUAUUCAGUCCUUAACCACCAGGCUGAACUCUUCCAGUUCUUAGCGAAGUGACCUGUAUAUAAGAUCUCCAGAGAAGCUCCCUCCAUAAUAAUCACUGGUACCCACGAGACACAUUUAAAAUGAAGGUGCAGUGGGCUUACAAAUCUUAGACAUGGUUGGUUUUUUUGUUUUGUUCUGGUUUUGUUUUUGUUUUUCCUAGUAGGGGCUUGUCUUUAUGGGGGGAGAUCAUGUUGGAGUUUCAAGGGGUCACUAAGACUGGGAAGCAAAUGAUGAACCAGUGGAUCUGCCUCAGCCCUACUUGCCUCGGAUGACUUAAUGCUCUGGAUGUUGGAGCAUUGGGAAGUGGUAGAACAAGAGACAAAGGUGGGUUUCUCCACAUUGCCAUGCAGGCAGGGACCUGGAGGGCCAUCAGAUUUUUUUGUUGUCAGUGACUACAUCCUGAACAAUUAGUACAUGCCUGGCAUGAGGGUGCAGUGGUCAAAAAACCCAGCAUGCUCCCUAUGGAGCUUACAAUCUGUAGGGGAACAAAUACAUUUUGCUUAUGUAAUUAUUCAUGAAUAAUUACAAACUGUGAUCAGUGCUUUGAAGAAAAAGUCUAUCGGGCAGGUCUAUGACAAUAUAUAACCAGAGGAUUCCACCUUGGAAAUGGGGGGUUAUGAGUUGAAUUGUGCCCCUCCUCCAACUUAUAUGUUGAGGUCUUUACCCCCAACACCUCAGAAUGUGACCUUAUUUGGAAAGAGGGUCUUUGCAGAUGUAGUCAUACUAGAGCAGGGUGAUCCUUAACCCACAAUGCUUGGAUUAAGGAUCACCUUAAUUAAAAAAGAGAAAUAUAGGUGCAAACACCCACAUGCACACAGGGAGAACACCAUGUGAAGAUGAAGGCAGAGAUUGGGGUGAUGCUUCUAUGAGCCAAGGAGUGACAAAGAUUGCCAGGAAACCACUGAAAAUUGAGACACAUGGAACAGAUUCUUCCUCUCGGCUAUCAGGAGUCAACCUUGCAAAUGCCUUGACCUUGGACUUCCAGAACUGAGGAGAAAGAUGGGCAGAAGAAGCUCAAAGAAAUUGCAAAAUUUGUUUGGCAUCAUGACUCAAGAAUGUAUGUCCUUUAAAGUUCUCAGAAGGCAAAGGUGUCCAGGGCAGCCUCAAAGCAAGAAAUCAUGAGCCCAAGGAGGAAUUUCUGGUCAAGGCAUUGCAGGAUCCCUUGGUGGCGCAGCGGUUUGGCGCCUGCCUUUGGCCCAGGGCGCGAUUCUGGAGACCCCGGAUCGAAUCCCACGUCGGGCUCCCGGUGCAUGGAGCCUGCUUCUCCCUCUGCCUAUGUCUCUGCCUCUUUCUCUCUCUCUGUGUGACUAUCAUAAAAUAAAUAAAAAUUUUAAAAAAAUCCUAUUGCAAAUGUACUUAGUUUUUGAACCAGUCUUAAAAAUGUCAUAAAUAAGAGAAGGAUGCCCAUCAUCACUGCUUGUGUUCAACAUCAGAGGGAAGUUCUAGCCCAUGCAAAAGUCAAGAAAACAAACACAAGGAAUAAG